ACUACGGGUGGCUGCAGUGAGGAAUAUUGGUCAAUGGGCGGAAGCCUGAACCAGCCAAGUAGCGUGCAGGAUGACGGCCCUACGGGUUGUAAACUGCUUUUAUACGGGAAUAACGCGCCUUACGUGUAGGGCUUUGCAUGUACCGUAUGAAUAAGGACCGGCUAAUUCCGUGCCAGCAGCCGCGGUAAUACGGAAGGUCCGGGCGUUAUCCGGAUUUAUUGGGUUUAAAGGGAGCGUAGGCCGCAUGUCAAGCGUGCUGUGAAAUGUCCGGGCUCAACCCGGGCCUUGCAGCGCGAACUGGCGUGCUUGAGUCCGCGGAAAGCAGGCGGAAUUCGUCGUGUAGCGGUGAAAUGCUUAGAUAUGACGAAGAACCCCGAUUGCGAAGGCAGCUUGCUGCAGCGGAACUGACGCUGAUGCUCGAAAGCGCGGGUAUCGAACAGGAUUAGAUACCCGAGUAGUC
rnacentral:rRNA from 1 species